CUUUGGUGUUGCCCAUCUGUAGUGGGCUGGGGUAAAAGUUUUGUGAGACAGGGGAUUGCCUGGCUUGACAUAUCCAUCACUGGCUGGAGCACAGACCUGAAUUUGGUAGCUGAGAUGACAGGGAACUCACUCAAUCAAGGGAGGGAGUCCCUAACCCUCUAUGAGGGCCUACACUUAUGCUGUCAGUAUCAUCAUGCACAAGGGAGUGUACCAUCAAUAUCCAAUAAAAUAUAUCAUAAUAGGCUGAGAGACACUGCAGAAUAAAGAAUGCUGUUUGAUAUUUUAGUUACUUUAAUGACACUUUUUGCCUGCUUUUUGAACAAGGGACCUUCAUUUUCAGUUUGCACUAAGCCUCACAAUUAUGUAGCCAGGAUUCUGACUUUUUUUUUCUGACAUGCCUCAGGGAGUAUCUUUCUUCAUUCACCAAGCUGGACAUACAUUGGGCUCUGUAAAUUAAGAGAAAUCUUAUCUAACUUUGGAGUUCCAAGUUCCAGUGCUACAUUCUCCAUCAGUGCCUUAUGUUAGAGAAUGUGAUGAGCUUUGCCUGUGGAGACAGGAUCCCAGGGAAAUGACAAUAACAAAAGAAAGAAGAAAGAAUAUGAGCUUCCUCCAGACAUCAUCAAAGAUCAUUGCCAAAGUUUUGAUGGGCUUUGAUUAAGGUAUCCUGGGACCUCAGCACAACCAACAAUAAAGAGAGAAGGAAGAAGACCCAGGACCAGGACAGCCUCCAUGUCAGAAAUGAAGAAGGAAUCUGCACGUUCAGACAAAAUAGACCUACUGCCCUCUAGAUACUUCCUUCAGCCUCUCAACUUAAGAUAAACUUUUGUGUCUUCAUUCUUAUCAUUUUUGUACCAAGAAAUACUGGACAUCCUUCAUCUCCAGCAGAUUAUAUUUCCAUCUGGCUCUGUCUGUCCUCUUUUAUGACUAGUCUCUUGAAAGUUUUUCUAAUUCAUCUAUGAACUCAAGGUCAAUCAUCAGUGAAAGCCUAGUCAUUAGAGAAACUUUAAUGUCAACCACUUCUGUAGACAUUCUUUUUGCGUUUUGCUCUAACAGGAAUCUGACUCUCUCCUGUGGACUCCGUUCCUUGAAAUCCAAAACUUAAAGUAUAAUAAUAAUAAAAUUAAAAAAAAAAGAAAGAAAUCAAGUCAAGCAGAAAUUGAGUUGAUUCUUCUAUCCCUUGUAUCUCUCAGCUUGGAGAAGUCCUUUUUACUCCACAUUGUCAUUCACAAACAACUGAUUAAAAGAGGGACAACAUGGUUUCACUGAGCAAACAUAGCCC
rnacentral:lncRNA from 1 species